rnacentral:rRNA from 1 species
AGGAGCAACCAUACCAGUACUAAUGCAUCAGAUCUCAUUUGAACUCCGAAGUUAAGCGUGUUUUGGGCGAGAAUAGUUCUAAGAUAGGCUUGUCUAAUGACUUUCAUAGACACAGGCUAGUGGCAUGAC